rnacentral:rRNA from 1 species
AUUCCAGCUCCAAUAGCGUAUAUUAAAGUUGUUGCAGUUAAAAAGCUCGUAGUUGGAUUUCUGGUGGGAGCGAUCGGUCUGGCGCUUAGCGCGAGUACUUGCAUCGUCUCCGGCCAUCCUUGGGGAGAGUUUGUCUGGCAUUAAGUUGUCGGGCAGAGGAUCCUCAUCGUUUACUGUGAAAAAAUUAGAGUGUUCAAAGCAGGCUUAUGCCGUUGAAUAUAUUAGCAUGGAAUAAUAAGAUAGGACUUUGGUACUAUUUUGUUGGUUUGCGCACCAAAGUAAUGAUUAAUAGGGACAGUUGGGGGUAUUCGUAUUCCGUUGUCAGAGGUGAAAUUCUUGGACUUGUUAAAGACUAACUUAUGCGAAAGCAUUUGCCAAGGAUGUUUUCAUUA